GUGCUCACUUUAACAACAUAUGUACUGAAAUUGCAACCAUACAGAGAUUAGCAUGGUCCCUGCACAAGGACAUGCAAAUUUAUAAAACAUUCCAUAUCUUU
ensembl:snRNA U6 U6 spliceosomal RNA